rnacentral:rRNA from 1 species
UACGUAGGGUGCGAGCGUUAAUCGGAAUUACUGGGCGUAAAGUGUGCGCAGGCGGCUGAGCAAGUCGAGUGUGAAAGCCCCGGGCUUAACUUGGGAAUUGCGCUCGAAACUACUUGGCUGGAGUGUGGCAGAGGAAGGUGGAAUUCCACGUGUAGCGGUGAAAUGCGUAGAGAUGUGGAGGAACACCGAUGGCGAAGGCAGCCCCCUGGGCUAACACUGACGCUCAGGCACGAAAGCGUGGGGAGCAAACAGG